UACAGGGGGUGCGAGCGUUAAUCGGAGUAAUUGGGCGUAAAGGGCAUGUAGGCGGAUAGGUUUGUCUGACGUGAAAGACCUGGGCUUAACCUAGGUUGUGCGUUGGAAACGGCCUAACUAGAGUGUGAGAGAGGGAGGUGGAAUUUCCGGUGUAGCGGUGGAAUGCGUAGAUAUCGGAAAGAACCCUCGUGGCGAAGGCGUCCUCCUGGCUCAUAACUGACGCUGAGGUGCGAAGGCGUGGGUAGCAAACAGG
rnacentral:rRNA from 1 species